CUUAAAGGAAUUGACGGGGCCCGCACAAGCGGUGGAGCAUGUGGUUUAAUUCGAUGCAACGCGAAGAACCUUAUCUGGGCUUGACAUCCCGGGAAUCCCUUGGAAACAAGGGAGUGCCCUUCGGGGAACCUGGAGACAGGUGCUGCAUGGCUGUCGUCAGCUCGUGUCGUGAGAUGUAGGGUUAAGUCCCGCAACGAGCGCAACCCUUGUCUUUAAUUGCCAUCAUUGAGUUGGGCACUUUAAAGAGACUGCCGUUGACAAAACGGAGGAAGGCGGGGAUGACGUCAAAUCAUCAUGCCCUUUAUGUCCUGGGCUACACACGUGCUACAAUGGCCUGUACAAAGGGCAGCAAAGGGGCGACCCGGAGCAAAUCCCAAAAAACAGGUCUCAGUUCGGAUUGCAGGCUGCAACUCGCCUGCAUGAAGGCGGAAUCGCUAGUAAUCGCAGGUCAGCAUACUGCGGUGAAUACGUUCCCGGGCCUU
rnacentral:rRNA from 2 species